rnacentral:rRNA from 1 species
AGAGUUUGAUCCUGGCUCAGGGUGAACGCUGGCGGCGUGUCUAAGGCAUGCAAGUCGAACGCGUAUCUUCGGAUACGAGUGGCAAACGGGUGCGUAACACAUUGGUAACCUACCCCGCACUGGGGGACAACCACUUGAAAGAGUGGCUAAUACCCCGUACGUGUACAUUCAUAAGUUUGUACAUCAGAGCUCCGGCACUGCGGGAGGGGCCUAUGUCCUAUCAGCUUGUUGGUGAGGUAAAAGCUCACCAAGGCUACGACGGGUAGGGGGCGUGAGAGCGCGACCCCCCUCACUGGGACUGAGACACUGCCCAGACUCCUACGGGAGGCUGCAGUCAAGAAUAUUCCUCAAUGGCCGAAAGGCUGAAGGAGCGACGCCGCGUGGUGGAAGAAGGCCUUCGGGUUGUAAACACCUUUUAUUAGGGACGAAAUUUUUGACGGUACCUAAUGAAUAAGAGGUUGCUAACUCUGUGCCAGCAGCAGCGGUAAUACAGAGACCUCGAGCGUUACCCGGAUUUACUGGGCGUAAAGCGUCCGCAGGCGGUUCAGUGCGUCUCGCGUCAAAUUGCAGGGCUCAACUCAGCAACUGCGUGAGAUACGGCUGAACUAGAGACUGGGAGAGGUAAGCGGAAUUCUCGGUGUAGUAGUAAAAUGCGUUAAUAUCGAGAGGAACACCAAUUGCGAAGGCAGCUUACUGGAACAGAUCUGACGCUCAUGGACGAAAGCGUGGGGAGCGAAAGGGAUUAGAUACCCCUGUAGUCCACGCCGUAAACAAUGAAUGCUAGGCAUUGGCAGUAUCGACCCUGUCAGUGUCGUUUAUCUAAGUUAACACCUUAAGCAUUCCGCCUGGGGAGUACGGUCGCAAGACUAAAACUCAAAGGAAUUGACGGGAGCCCGCACAAGCGGUGGAGCAUGUGGUUUAAUUCGAUACUAAGCGAGGAACCUCACCAAGGUUUGACAUCCCCGGAAUACACCCGAAAGGGAGUAGUGCCCGCAAGGGAACUGGGUGACAGGUGCUGCAUGGUCGUCGUCAGCUCGUGUCGUGAGACGUCAGGUUAAGUCCUUUAACGAGCGCAACCCUCAUUCUGUGUUAAAUUGUUCACAGGAGACUGCCCGGGUAACCGGGAGGAAGGCGAGGAUGACGUCAGAUCAGCAUGGCUCUUACAUCUUGGGCUACACACGUGCUACAAUGGGAACAACAACGGGACGCCAAAUCGUAAGAUGGAGCAAAUCCCUAAAUGUUCUCUCAGUUCGGAUUGAAGUCUGCAACUCGACUUCAUGAAGCUGGAAUCGCUAGUAACCGCAGAUCAGCCUCGCUGCGGUGAAUACGUUCUCGGGCUUUGUACACACCGCCCGUCACGUCAAGAGAGUUGGUCGGACCCGAAUACCCUGUAUGGGGUAGAAGGUAAGGCUGAUGAUAGGGACGAAUUCGUAACAAGGCA